rnacentral:miRNA from 1 species
UGUCUUAUUCUUUGUGUAUAUAUACACAUAUGUAUGUGUGUGUGUGUGUGUGUGUGUGUGUGUGUAUACACACACACCCACCUACUAUGUCUGAAAAUUUUAAA